CGGUUAGGGUUCGAGAGGAAGGUCCCCCACCACUGGUACUGAGACACGGACCAGACUCCUACGGGAGGCAGCAG
rnacentral:rRNA from 1 species